GACUCCGUAGCUCAGUUGGUAGAGCAACUGACUCUUAAUCAGUGGGUCGAGAGUUCGAGCCUCUCCGGGGUCAC
rnacentral:tRNA from 2 species